rnacentral:rRNA from 1 species
GCACUGCCCGGUAGCUAAAUGCGGAAGAGAUAAGUGCUGAAAGCAUCUAAGCACGAAACUUGCCCCGAGAUGAGUUCUCCCUGACUCCUUGAGAGUCCUGAAGGAACGUUGAAGACGACGACGUUGAUAGGCCGGGUGUGUAAGCGCAGCGAUGCGUUGAGCUAACCGGUACUAAUGAACCGUGAGGCUUAACCUU